AGAAAUGGAUCAACAGCCCAAAGCACAACCACAUAAACCAAAGAUGACAAUGAACAGUACUUCAAACCAAUUUGUUCAGAAUAUGUGAAGCAACAGUCUCCUGAAAAAUCAGAUUCCUAAUAAAACUACUUCACACAGGAUUUAUACAGUUGAUAAACCACCUCAUUAAUCAAGAGGCAAAUGAUACAAACUAUAAUACUAAUUGCCUUGGAAAAUAAAAUUAUUCGGUAC
rnacentral:lncRNA from 1 species